rnacentral:lncRNA from 1 species
UUCUGUGCCUGUCUGUUCCCCCCUGAGGCCUCUCUGGGUCGGCAUCGGUCAUUAUAGCCUGUGCUGGGUCUGAUGUCCACUUGGCACCAACUUUUCAAAAUUUCUACAAAGCAAAUGACCCCUGGUCCCCAGCAUGUCAACCGCUAGGUGGUGAGGAAGCUGCAGUCGUAACCUCAAGUCUAGCCCGGAGGUAAGCUGACUGCCAGGAGAGCCAAGCCAGGCAGGGGGGCGGGGAAAAGGUGCAGCAGGCCGAGCAGGAGGGCAAGGCCAUCAAAGCACACAGCAGGUCCUACGAGGCCUGCAGGGCUCCGUGUCCCAAACCCAGGGGCUGGAGCCGAGAGCCCGAGGCCACCUGGGCAGGGCAGCACCUCACAUGAGUACUGCGUGCCGCUCUCAGGUGACAGUGAAGAACCUGUGAGCACUCUGUGCUUUUGCCGGAAGUCUUGAUUCUUCUGAGUUGCCUCUGCCUAUCUGCCACCCCGUGUGACCAGCCACAGCAGGGCGGGGCUCGCAGGAAGACUCGGCUUGGCCCAGGGCUCCGGCCCCUCCCAUGUGCAGCUGCUCACUGGGCCUCAGCUGUACCCUGGGGUCCCCUGGGUGUGCCAGACCACGUGAUCAGGGGUCACUGGGUUUCCAGCACAGAGGCUCAGAGUCCCCGGGGGCUUCGUAAGAAAGCUGGCCUCACCUCCACCCCUUUGGUGCUCCGGUGAGACCAACACUGGCGGCCCUCUCAGGGGUGGGCACCAGGGGCCAUGUGCACACAAACAUGCAGGCGGCUGGGGAGCCAGCUCCGGCAGGCACCACUCGGGCCAGCUGCUGUCCCUCUUGAACAGCACACUGACCUCUCGCGCCACCCAGCCCCUCCACUCACCAAUGUAGACGGGAGAGUAGCUGGACUUGACAUUCUCGUCCAGGUAGGUGACGCCCAGGGGUAUAGAGGGGCGUGGCGCCCACGCCGUGCAGGAACUGGCCCAGCAUGAAGACCAGCCGGUAGUGGGACAGGCCCGAGGAGCUGUCAGCACAUACCACGCUCUGGUUGGCCGGGCACAUCCCGGUCCCUUCGUCCACCUCCGCCUCAUAGCGGCCCGAGAUGAAGUGGGGCAGGGCGAACACCAGCGAGCCGGCGCCCAGGAGCAGCACGCCCCAGCCCAGCCAGCGCGGCUUGUGGUCCACUGCCCCCGGAGUAGCUGACAAAGGUAAGGCAGAGACAGGCGGCAAUGUCGUAGGAGCUGGCGAUGAGCCCGCUCUGGUAGCUGUGCAGGUCAUGGCGCCCGCCGAUGGAGGUGAUGACCGUGUUGAUGAAGCCGUUCACCGUCAUGCCCUGCAGGAAGGAGGCUGCACACAGGAAGAACAGGAAGCCCUUGGGGGUGUUGAAGACCUGCAGGCACUCUGGGGGUGAAGCCUCGCCAGCCACACGCUGUGUCUGGUGGCCCCACUGAAACGUACUGCACCUGCGGAGCCGCCUGGCUGUUGUGCUUCUCUGUCCGGGGCUGGCACAGGGGCUGGCUGCAGGAGUCCAGGGGGCUGUGGGUGGUGGAGCGCUCAGAGCCUGGGGAGUCCCUGCUGCCCAGGGGGCUGUGGUCAAGCCCAUUUUCAACAGCCAAGUGGGUGCUGUUGAAGAGCCUGGGGCAUCAGGGGAAGCGCGUGUCCCCCAGCGCUUGCUGGGGCAUCUCCGGGCCUGGUGGGGAGGCCUUGGAAGCAGGGUGACAGUGGGACUGGCAGAAGUGGCCGGAGAGGAAUUCCAGCUGCCCGUUUGUUCUGUGAAGAGGGAUUUCUAGUUAGUGAACCUGAAUCUGCUCUGACACUGCGGCUCUGUGUGAAGAUUCUGCGUGCCCAUCACGGGGUUAGCUAGGGGCUGCCUGCCUGGCACUGAAUCUCCACACUGGAAUCCCAGACAGGCCCUCCCGAGUCUAGACUGGCCUCUGACUGGACCCACACCCAGGCGUUUCACCUGGGGGUGCGGUGCUGCAGCAGGUGGCCCAGGCCCAGCCUGCAGACAGGGACUCAACUCCACACAGUCAGAACACAGGAAGGGAGACGUGGCUUCUUUAGGGGUAGGGAGGGCUUCAGGAGCUGCAGCGAGGGCGGAGCCCGCAGGUGGAGGUCAGACAGCAGAGGCCUUGGCUCUGCCCACCAGAGC